AGCUGAUUGAACAAAACAGGGAGAGACCUAUCUGACCUACCUUAAAUAAAACCAUAUACUUUCAUUGCAGUUUUUCAACUGUUAGCUCUGGUCUACACUAAUGACUACACCCCAGCACUCUCCCAGUUAAGUCAAAGGGCUCUCACAGGAAAGUUGUAUUGGGCUGGUAACUUUUGUUGGGUUUCUAGUGUGGUGGCAUAUCAGAAGACAUUAUUAUGGUUUCUGGGCUCCUUUUCAGGGGAUUCUCAUUUUUUCUAUUGUUUGAAGGCAUUAACUGUUAUCCAGCAAAACAAGCAAACCCUGCUCUGCAUGGCUAUCCAUUACGUAGCACUGAGUCCAAGAUCUAUCGAGGUGGGCCUGCCUCUUAUAGAGAUGACUCAGUCCUUUUGAACUCUGGAGCUUUCCCACGGUCUGGACUGGACUCUGUAACGGCAGACAACAACUACCAUUCCCUUGGAAGAAAACCUGGCCCCCGUUUUUUUGCUGUGCAGAAAGAAAUAUUCCCCAAAUCCAAGGAGCCUGGGAAGUUCAAACAACGUGGGUCCACUUCAACUAAACCAAGCAGAUUAAGCCUCACAGAGGCUGGAGCGGUCACAGGACAAACUCACGAGCAGGCCAGCUACCCAAAACACUCCAGUGUUUAUGCUAAUCAUGUCUUUGCCCAGUCUGGAAACCUCACAGGGCAUGAGUCGGUGUUCAACCCCGCUCCAUCCGACAUAUUUAAGGAGCCUGAUGAGAAUAUUGUCAAACAUGUCAGUUUUGCAACUAUUAAUGAUUUAAAACAAUUUGUUAAGUCUAUGAGGAAAACGUUCCUUAAACCAGGUAGUCAUAACCCUUUCCAAACAACGUCAGAGACUGUGCAGAACAGAAAAGUCCCCAGCAUUCAACUGCCAAGCCAAAGAUCCCAAAAUAUCUAUGUCCCUAUUGAGAAAAGGCUUGCCCUAAAUGGCUAUAAUUCUACCCAGGAUUUAAGGGAGCAUGUCAGUACUAGAUCUAACAAGAAUGAAAUGGUCACCACUAUCAACCAUGAGCCUCUUCAAAGUCUCAGUCCAAGGAAAUCUCUCCCUGCUCCUCCCAUCUCUACCCAAGUUCCAGCUUCUCCCAAAGGCUCUGUAUCCUUGUAUAAUUCUAAUGAAGACCCUGCAGGGGAAUCCGUUUCAAAAGGCUAUGGAAGUCUUCCUAACACUGACUCACCCUCUGGAAGCAAUGGCAGGCUGUUUAACCAUUUUAAUGCUCAGAAUGAACACGUUCUUAACCCAAGAAUUACAUUUUCCAAGCCCAUAAGCCACCAGCCUGGUCACAGGAACAAGUCUUCAUCCAUCUCUGUGCAGCAUCAACACAUCCCCAUUAAACAAGAGCCCAAAGAUGUAGCCUACAAACCAAAUGGCUUUCAUAAUGCUGGCUUUAAUUUUGGAAGCUAUCCAAGUGCCUCUAGCAGUUACAAUGUACAGACUGAGCAAGUCCCCAAUGCUCAGUGGUCAAAUGAAGCCUACCAGACAGUCAUUGUGCAUCAUGCACAAAUACCAUCCACCACUAACUCUGGAAAAACUAGUCCUUACAAAACUGGUAGCUAUGUGAGUGCUUCAAAGGUUAAUCCCCUUAGCCUAUCAAUUUUAUAUCCUGUGCCCACAAACUAUAAGCCCUCUGGUCAUUCAGUCUCUGGGCAGCAAAACAAAGUCCCAACCAGUAUGACUAUGAAGCACAAACACAUUACCUCCAGACCAGGUAUUCAGCUUCCUGCAUCAAGUGGUUUUCAUGCCCAUAAUGAUAAUGUCUCCAUUGCCCAGCAGCAAAACAAAGUGGCACAACCUGGCUGUCUCUCCAGUGUUCCUAAAUCUGCUGCUUCUAGUUAUUUUGGUCAAGAUGGAAAUGGAUUUUCAAGUCAAUCCAUUCUAUUUCCCAAGUCCACAAGCAACCAAGCUUUGAGUAAAUGGAAGACUUCUGUCUCUGAGAAACAGGUGGAUGCCUCAAUCAACAAGAAGCCCAAAUAUGUGAUCUCUAGAUCCAGUGUCCAGCAGCCUAUAUCCACUGGUAUUGACAAUAACCAGAGUGGAGGUUUCCCUCAAAGCAGUGGAAGUUUCAUGAAUACUCAAAGACCAUUCACCAUCCCAUUUAAAAGGCUAGCAUCUCCCUAUAAACCUUUAUAUGAAAGGCCAGAACAGAGAAACAUUGUAAAGGAUGUCAGUUUUACAACUAUUUAUGAUUUAAAGAAUGUUGUGAAGUUUAUGAGGAACGCCUUCCAUAAGCCAGGGGUACCUUUCCAAACAACCUUGGAGACUAUGCAGAAUGAGCAGGUCCCCAGCAUUCGGCUGCCUAGCCAAAGAUCCUUAACUAGCUACGUUCCCUUGGACCAAAGCCUUGCCCAAAAUAGCUAUAGUUCAACUCUGCAUUUGAGUGAGCCUGUUCGUACUAGAUCUAAUCAGAAUGAACAGGCUGGACCGGUCCUAGGCAUAAGUGGUCGCUUAGGACCCCCGACCGCCAGGGGGCCCAGGCAGCUAGUGAGCCCCAGACCAAUAGGGGAGAGGGGCACAUCAAAUAAAAUUUUGCUCAGGGCCCCCAAAAGGCUAUGGCCGGCACUGUGAAUGGGUAACCACCAUAGACAAACUGCCCCAUGAGCCUCUCAAGUUCCAGUGCAAGGACAUCUGACCCUGAUCCUCUCAUCUCUACACAAGUUAGAGCCUCUUCCAGUGGUUAUAUCAGUACAGGCUCUGAUUCUGUUCCCUUACAUCAGUUCUAACAAAGUCUCCACAAGGUAAUCUGUUUCAAAGAUCUAUGGAAGGUUUUCUAAUGCUGGCUCAACCUUUGGAAACAAGGGUAGUGCUUAUAACAGUUUAGAAGCUUUUUUACUUUGGGCCUCAAAUAUCAAGCAGUCAUUCAAAGUGUCUCAAACAGGCCCUACUGUACAACGGCCUGUUUGAGACACCUCCUUCCUGUUCUCCAUCUGGCUAGGAUGGGCAAGUUUUGUGUUCCAAUUGUGGGACAUAGAAGACUCAGAGUCCCCCUCGCCAAUCUAUACCAUUCCUCUAUCUUUGGUGUGCUGGGAAGACCUGUUAAUCUGACUUGUCCAUAGCCUUACAAACUGGUAUUGUCUGUACUGUAGAAAUAUCUUCAUUGUUUAGCUCUUGUCAUGUGUUUCAUUCCAGCAGUAGUGACUGUGAUUUAAAAAAGAAUCCAGCUAUAAACAUUUUCAAGCCAAUAAACUACCAGCUGUCACAGUAAGAUGUUUCCAUCUGUCUCUGAAUAACGGUAACGCCCAUUGAACAAGGGAACAAAUUUGUAGUCUACAAACCAAGUGGCUUUUAUAAUGCUAGCUCUAUCUUUGGAUGCUAUGCAGGUGCGCUAGUCUAGUGGUCAACCAACUACUUCCAGACUGGCUUGGACACUUCUCUACAAAGACCCAUCUCUAGAAAAGGUGAUCUACCAAAAUGGUGGCUAUGUGAAUGCCCAAACAGUCAAGUCCCUGAGACAAUCAAUUUGCAUCCAGUGGCUUUGGAAACUAGCUGAUUCUAGAUUUUUGAUUUUACAACCAAAUAAGCAAAACAACCAUUAUGUGCAAAAUUGUCAUUAAAAAAACACGGAUCUCAAAAUGUGAUUCAAAAGGUGUUUUUUGAAAACUAGGAUUACUUACUUGAAGCACAUAUUUGUUAAACUUGUUCUGUAACUGGAGUAGGCCUUCUCAAACAAAUAUUCAGGGAGAAACUGUUGAGUGAGUAAAAGAGGGAAAGGUGAGAUCAUUUUAAAAUUCUCACAGUAUAAACAGUCCUGUACAUCAUAUGUUGGCAUCCUUAUAGUUUCCCUAAAUUCAGCAAAUGUGUGAAUUCCCUAUU